rnacentral:tRNA from 16 species
GAAUCUGUCUGGUGUUGCGCCCGGACUUCAUCCCAGCACGGAGCCGGGAGGACCAUGCGGG